ACUAGAGCCAUAUCUCCCUGCAGUUCUCGCCUGGCUUCCCACUGAAUAUACGCAGGGUUGAGUUUGGUCAGUACCUGGAUGGGAGACCUUGGGAAAACUAAGGUUGCUGCUGGAA
rnacentral:rRNA from 1 species